GUUGGAUUCCCGAAAAAAAGAUGCAUCUUGGUGGGUUAUCUUGUUGGCAACCCAGUAACCGAUGGUCAAUUUGAUAACGGGGCAGUAGUUCCAUAUUUUCAUGGGAUGGGACUUAUAUCUGAUGAGCUUCACAAGGUGAUGUUGCAUUUGUGAGAUGUCCCUACAACAGUGCCACUACAACAAAAUUCUGAAGUUUUGGUGAGGGCUGAAGGUUAUGAGUUUAUAUUCUGACAUGCCUCUACAUCUUGAAUACUUAUGCGCUGGUCAGUGCCUCGACUCACUAAGCUGCGUCUUUCCCCCCCUAGGAAUUUGAACCUGGGUUGCUUUGAUACCAUGUCAAAGAUCCUUAUCACUAAACCAAGACUCCAAAGUUGGUUGAGGGUUAUAAUUUUUUUUUACAUGAGCAGCAUCAUCACCGGCUAUAAAGAGAAAGUCAGCAGAGAGACGAUGCGGAGGGCAAUAUGCAGGUCCUGUGAAUGCAAGAUGUGCAGAACCUAUAAGGUCGAUGUUGAGGAUCUGCGUUGUCGUUUGGCUCAGAAACCUGCCGAAAU